rnacentral:lncRNA from 1 species
GUUCGAUGUACAUAAAAUUAUUUUUAUGAAUUUGAAAAAAAUUUGAAAUUUUCAUUUUGCAUAGUUUUUCAACGGAGAACGAAAAUUCAAGCUGUGUAAAAUUUUUUUUCAUUUUUUUUUUUUCAUUGAACCAAGCACAUGUGAUAUUUUUUUUCCUUUAUUCAAGCAAACAAUAAUGAUGAAAAACUAUAUUUUUUUCUAUAAACUAAAUAUUAUAAAACAUAAAAUAUUUUUUUUCAUAAUUUUUUUUUUAAUAAUUUUACGUUGAACCAAACAGACCCAAAUGCUUCUUU